rnacentral:rRNA from 1 species
AAAUUGAAGAGUUUGAUCAUGGCUCAGAUUGAACGCUGGCGGCAGGCCUAAUACAUGCAAGUCGAACGGUAACAG